UGCAGUCGACGGAAAGGCCCAGCUUGCUGGGUACUCGAGUGGCGAACGGGUGAGUAACACGUGGGUGAUCUGCCCUGCACUCUGGGAUAAGCCUGGGAAACUGGGUCUAAUACCGGAUAUGACCAACUGUCGCAUGGUGGUUGGUGGAAAGCUUUUGCGGUGUGGGAUGGGCCCGCGGCCUAUCAGCUUGUUGGUGGGGUAAUGGCCUACCAAGGCGACGACGGGUAGCCGACCUGAGAGGGUGAUCGGCCACACUGGGACUGAGACACGGCCCAGACUCCUACGGGAGGCAGCAGUGGGGAAUAUUGCACAAUGGGCGCAAGCCUGAUGCAGCGACGCCGCGUGAGGGAUGACGGCCUUCGGGUUGUAAACCUCUUUCACCAGGGACGAAGCGUGAGUGACGGUACCUGGAGAAGAAGCACCGGCCAACUACGUGCCAGCAGCCGCGGUAAUACGUAGGGUGCGAGCGUUGUCCGGAAUUACUGGGCGUAAAGAGCUCGUAGGCGGUUUGUCGCGUCGUCUGUGAAAUUCUGCAACUCAAUUGCAGGCGUGCAGGCGAUACGGGCAGACUUGAGUACUACAGGGGAGACUGGAAUUCCUGGUGUAGCGGUGAAAUGCGCAGAUAUCAGGAGGAACACCGGUGGCGAAAGCGGGUCUCUGGGUAGUAACUGACGCUGAGGAGCGAAAACGUGGGUAGCGAACAGGAUUAGAUACCCUGGGAGUCCACGCCGUAAACGGUGGGUACUAAGU
rnacentral:rRNA from 1 species